rnacentral:lncRNA from 13 species
CUCUACUGUCAGUAGCUGCCCUCCACUCUACUGUCUGAGCCAGUGGUGUAGUGGAGGGUCAACACAUGUAGACUCCGGUCACUCUGAAUUGAAAUAUAGGGAUUGAAUGUUACCUUUUUCACUGGAAUGGUGUGGACUGGGUUACGAUUCAGUAGGAUUGGGAUCGACUCUGGGUUCAACUGGACCGGGGUUACGAUUCAGUAGGAUUGGGAUCGACUCUGGGUUCAACUGGACUGGGUUACGAUUCAGUAGGAUUGGGAUCGACUCUGGUUUCAACUGGACUGGGUUACGAUUCAGUAGGAUUGGGAUCAACUCUGGGUUCAACUGGACCGGGGUGAGAUUCAGUAGGAUUGGGUUCAACUCUGGUUUCAACUGGACUGGGUUACGAUUCAGUAGGAUUGGGAUCAACUCUGGUUUCAACUGGACUGGGUUACGAUUCAGUAGGAUUGGGAUCAAAUCUGGU